GGUGAACGCUGGCGGCGUGCUUAAGACAUGCAAGUCGAACGGCAGUCUUCGGACUGUAGUGGCGCACGGGUGAGUAACGCGUAACUGACCUACCCCAAAGUCGCGGAUAACGAUUCGAAAGAAUCGCUAAUACGUGAUGUGCUGUCAGAUUGUGUUCUGCCAGUAAAGAUUGAUUGCUUUGGGAUGGGGUUGCGUUCCAUCAGCUAGUUGGUGGGGUAAAGGCCCACCAAGGCGACGACGGAUAGCCGGCCUGAGAGGGUGGCCGGCCAGAGGGGCACUGAGACACGGGGCCGACUCCUACGGGAGGCAGCAGUUAGGAAUCUUCCACAAUGGGCGAAAGCCUGAUGGAGAGACGCCGCGUGAGGGAUGAAGGUCUUCGGAUCGUAAACCGCUGAAUCAGGGACGAAAGAAACGUUAUGUGGGAUGACGGUACCUGAGUAAUAGCACCGGCUAACUCCGUGCCAGCAGCCGCGGUAACAC
rnacentral:rRNA from 1 species